UCAACAAACAACUUGAAAGCAAAUUAAAGAAAAAUCACCUGGAAAGUUUUUUCCGACAAUUCGUAAGAUUUUGCGAUUGUGUUUAUCUCUGCCUUUGAUUUUGAACAAAUUAAGCUUGUGAAUGAGUUUAAUUUGAUCAGGCGGCAGUUGUUCUUCAGCCAUGGUGAUUGAAGAUUGGAUUUGGAUGAUAAGAUGAAGAUUGAUGAUGAAGUUAGGGAUAAAGUGGGGGAAGAAGAUGAGAUGGAAUCUGAUCUGACGGAGGAUAUGCGGAUAGAAUAUUCGGGUUUUGACUGAGUUGGAUGGGUAUGAAUACAGGGUCGAGUUUCUACAGCGGGAUGAGUAUAGAGAUGUGUGCCCGUGGUUGAUGAUCUGGACCGUUGAUUUUAGGUCGGGUAAUGUAUGGUUUAAUAUUUUAAAUUAAUGGGCUUGAUGAUGGUCCGUGGUUUUGGACCGCCUAACUAUGCCAAACUUUGGACUUGUUUUCCUUAGUAAAACUAUUAUUCCUUAGGUGUUGCGGCGAGUAUUGGUUUGGUAUCGGCUCAGUUUGUUACAGUAUCGGUGUGAUAUCCACAUUUGAUAUGGCAAUCAACACAUGUGUUACGUUGAUUAAAAAUCAUAAGAAAAAUAGCGCUGCCAAUACUGAUGCUAUUCGGAUAGGCUCGGUUCAUUUUGUGAUGGUAUCAGUACGAUACCAACAUUGAAUAUAGCUUACAAUACCAAAAAAAAAUUAAUAAGUCAGUGUUAUUGAAAUAAUAUUGGUUCUGG
rnacentral:lncRNA from 1 species